UUGGAUGAGAGUUUGAUCCUGGCUCAGAACGAACGCUGGCGGCGUGCUUAACACAUGCAAGUCGAACGCUGAGCACUCAGCCACUGAGCCCGUUUAAAGAAAGCGGGUUGAGUGGUUGAGUGCUUGGAGUGG
rnacentral:rRNA from 1 species